rnacentral:lncRNA from 1 species
GAAAUCUUAAAGAAAUAUUAGAAUGAUCACAAAUAUAUCUCAAAUACAUCUUAAUUCAAUCUUAAUUUAAUCCUAGUUAAAAUCCUAUUGAACUUCAUUCAAACUUUAGGCCAAAAACUAACUAAAUCUUAAAUCUUAAAUAAAUCCUAAUAAAAUCAUAAAUCCUAAAUCAAAUCCUAACCAAAUCUUAAACCCUAAAUCAAAUCCUAACCAAAUAUUAAAUCCUAAAUCAAAUCCUAAAUUCUAAUAAAAUUCUAAUUUUAAAUCAAAUCCUAACUAGAUCCUAAUCCUAAAUCAAACUCUAAUCAAAUCCUAAUCCUAAAUCAAAUCCUAACCAAAUUCUUAAUCCUAAACCAAAUCCUAAUCAAAUCCUAAUCAAAUCCUAACCCUAAAUCAAAUCCUAACCAAAUCCUAACCCUAAAUCAAACCCUAAAUAAAUCCUAAUCUUAAAUCAAACUCUAAUCAAAUCUUAAUCCUAAAUCAAAUCCUAAUCAAAUCCUAAACCAAAUCCUAAUCCUAAAUCAUAUCCUAAACCAAAUCUUAAACCCUAAAUCAAAUCUUAGUAAUUCCUACAAUAAAUUUAUACCUCAAUUACUAAUGAAUGAACUAUUAAUCUUAACUCAAAAUUUGCAUGCUUUUUAAUAAUUAAAUUGACAACAAGCACUAAUUUUUUUGAAAAAGAUCAGAAUUACCAAAUAGAUGAUAGCCUCAAAAACAUGCUUGGAUAUUGACCGGCCUCCUUCUCUCACCUUGAUGUCAAUCUCUCAAAACCAAUAUCUCUCCUUUUCAUCAUUCGAUUGAUCUUAAAAUCCUCAUAUACAUAGAAAAAUAAGUCUAAUAUCUUCUCACAUAAAUUUCACUCUAAUCCAAUUAGUAGAUUAUAAGAAAUCUUUAUUAGACCUAAAAUUCUACUUUUUGAGACCUUAACCCACUUAAACCUUAAUAAUCCUCAAUUCAAUUGUUAGAUUGAGCUAAGAUUCACAAAACAUAUUAAGCACAACUAUGACCAUUAAUCUAUAAAAUUUCAUUUGUAGAUCUACUACAAAAUUCUUGAAAUCUCUAGAAAUGUCAAUCCUAUUUUAUUUCACAAAAUCCAAGUCAUUCAAAAUCAAUCUUGAUUUUGUAAAGUUCUUAUAAAAUCAUAAGAACUCCAAAUCAUCCAAAAAUAAUGCUCAUACAAACCUUAUCUAGUUUGCUAUCAAACUCCUUUCUUCGAUCUCCAUAACAAUCUUAGAAUCGUUGACAAGAUUCGAUUUUGUACCUCAGGGUCUGAUUUCAAUCCUAGUUCAUAAUUGGCCCUCUCCGGAUAUCAAUGUCUAGUUUUUUUAAAUAAAUUCUAUUAGAAUUUACUCUUAAAUUCUUUCUAAAGAUGCCUAUAUCAUUUAUUUUUCUAAUCUACUUUGUUUUGCCUUAUUUAUGGUCCUACAAAGUAAGUAGAAGCCACCUUUCUAAAAAGGUAGCAUUAAUACCUUUUAGUUUUACUACCCUUUUGACUAUCUUUUGACUAUUAACUAUAUUUCUUAAGAUAGUUCGUUCUAAUACGUUAAACUAAGAUCUCCUAAAUUAUAAUAAUUUCUACACUCUUUCACCUAUUAGUCAUGUUACAUCACGACAAUAUGAAGAAGAAUCUACACCGACCCUUAUAUCCAUCAAUCCCUUGGUUUAACUGAGGGACUUGCUAAUAGUAAUUCCUAAGGAUUUACAAGCAACUCCUAUAUUCUACAUCAUUCCUAUAUUUGAAGGAAGUAGAGACAAUGAUCUAUUAGCAUACGUAGAAAGAUUCAUGAAACUUCUCACGACAUGUUUAAUAACCAAUCUGGAUUAUUAUCUUGUACGAUUUUCAAGUACCUUAAAGGAUGAAACUUAUGAAUAGUAUAGAAGCCACCCUCCCCAAACCUUUGAGAAUUUGGAUAUGCUCAUGAGAGCAUUUUUAGAAAAUUUUAGGCCAAAAGUAGGACAAAGUAAUACCUUCACGGUCCUUUCUUCUUUGAGACAAGGAAAGGAGAAAGAAAUCACUGAAUAUAUUUGGUGAUUUGAACUUGUAGUAACUAGAUUUGUGGAAAUUCUUCUCACAGAUGAUACCUUCACUCAUUUCUUUAUUCAAGGAUUUAAUAGUGAAGGAAAAAUUUGAGAGAUCCUCAAAGGAAGACGAGAAAAAGACAUCUAGUAAGUAAUUGUUGAAUAGAAAAUAGAAUAGUAUAUAGAAAUUGUGAGAGAAACCAUUAUAAAAAUGUAUAUAGGCAACCUCACAAGGUGAUUCCUUUAACGUUCUCAUAAAAAAGUUAUCAAUAAGAAGCCCAAGAUCAAUUGAAGGAGGUAAGAAAUACAAAAUUGGAUAAUAAUUUAAGUCCUUUUAACAUGUUUUAUGAUUAUAAUAAUAAUCGUUAAACCUAAUAUCAUUCCUUAGGUCUAAAUAUACAAAGAGGAUUUAUUUUGCAUUACAUAUUUUAGUAUAUUUAUGUACAUUUUGGAAUAAUGUAGGCCAAUAAUAACCUACUUUAAUUUUUUUUUGGCCUAUUAAGGUCCUAAAAAGUGACCUUCGCAUCAACUAUCCUGACAUGCCAUAGAAUGGUAAGAAUUUCUUCUUCCAUUACACACCUUCUUAACAUUCUGUUAACUCUACAUUUAUAUAAUUUGCCACUAGCUAUAGUAAAGUGUCUACUAUUAAUUCUUACUUUUUAUGUUCUAUUUUAAAAAAAUGAGGAGGCAAGACUUGAAUUGUCAAAAACUUGGUAAUUAAUUCAUACCAAGUAGGCAAGAAUGAAAUAAUAAAUAAUAUAUUAUCAAUUGGAGCUUCACUAUUUUGGUCUGACAACUAAGAUAAAUGAACUACUUGCUUGUAGAUCCUUCUCGGCUUAAAUUCCACUAUAUAAUCAAAUUCUUCUAGUAGAAGUAUCCACCUUAUAAGUCUACCACUUAAAUUAGCUUUAUUCACAAGGUACUUGAUUGCCACAUGGUCCACAAAAAAUACCAUUAGAUUUAAGUGAAGGUAAUGUCUAAACUUUUUGAUGGAAAAAACCAUGGCAAAUAUAGUAUAAUCUUGUCUGACUUCCCAAUACCAUCUUAUGUGUCGCAACGUCCUUUAUACCUCUUUCAUCAUAAAAAAGGAUUUUAAUUCUACAAUAAUUUUGACCUUUUUUGGAUCAGGUUCCUUACUCUUUUUCAAUACCACAUAUCCUAGUAGAACUCCCUUUUAAACUGCUAGGAAUAUUUUGUCAAGGUUUGAUAUAAUCUCGUGAGUGAAAAUUUCACUCCUCAGUCCCAAUUACAAGAUGGCUUCAAUUAAGAGUUUCUAAUAAUUGGUGGUGUAAAGUGAAGUAAGCAAUUGGCAAAAGACCAAAGGAGAAAAACCACAAUACAAAUAAAAGAGAUGAAAUUAAGUAAUCACAACAUCUAAAACGAAGUUACAAUUCGUUCAUUAGAUUUUUAUCUAAUAAAAAGUAAAAGUAAAAAGUAAAAAAUAUAUUUUUAGAUAGAUAAUUUUUUUGUCUUUUCAAUGACAUAAAGAUCAUGUAAUUCCAAGUUACUAUGAGUAAGUUAUGAUAGAUUAAAAAUAGAAUAUAAAUAAUAAAAAAGUUAAGUGAAUAAUUUUUACCUCAAGGAUACCUUGCUUAAGAAAUCAGGAGUUCGAGCCUCACCAAGGCUCACAAGUAGUGUAUAUUCUCCCCUUCAAGAGGCCUUGAGGCCUUAGUCUUAUCUUUCUACCUAUAUCCAAAGUGCUACAACCCAUAUGGAAAUUGUGCACCUCUCUUCCUAUAAGGACUAUACUAGCUAUUGGUCCUCCUAUUUUCUUCUAGUAAAACUACUUUUUUUGCAUUUUUGACUUCACCAUGGUGUUAAAAAACACCGAAUUAGCCUAGAAUCCUUGCAUAGUCUUCAAAUCUUGCUUCAUUUCUUCAUGAUGGCUGUCAAGGUGAUAAACUCAAUUUUACCAAAGUCUUGAAAUUUUCUCUAAAAAUUCAAAAAAAAUUCUAAAUAAAUUUUAAAUAAAUUCAAAAAAAAUUUAUAAUAUUUCUAUAAUACUAAUAUCCAUAUGAGGCUGUAUUUUCCUAUCUUGGUGAUUUUUUAUAGUAAUAAAAUCAAUUUAAAUCCACUAAAAAUCCUAUUUUUAUAUAAUUAAUUAAAAAGACAUGAAGCUCUUUUUCAUGCUUCUUCUAACUAUUAACUAAUCAUUGAUAGGAUUUUAUAAGUAAUACAUGUAGAUAGAAGCCAAUGAAGAUAUUGGUUUCAAUAACUAACUCUUAAUACUUAACAAUAAGAAAAAUACUAAACUAACUAAGAUAAUUGCCUCUAAGACUUACUAAGACUCCAUUUUUAUAACUUUUCUUCUAAAAACACUUUUGCAACUUAUAAAUACUUCUAAAUUAUAAUAAAUAUUCGAAUAGUAAAAAAAAACUCUCUAUUCUUAAUAUUUGUAUAAUUAAAUGACUUAAAACUAUAUUUUUAACUAAUCCACUAAUUAAGAUCUAUUUGUGGGAUUCACAUAUGGCAACCAUAUUGAACUAUUCAUAAGAAUAGAGAGAAUCCAACUCUUGUAUUUGACACAGUCUAUAAAAAAUAAAAUAACUAAGAUAAAAUAAAAUAUAAAAAAUUAUCAAAAAAGACAUUGUUAUUUACUAGAAGAAGUGGAAUAUAAGUAGAACUACUAAAAUAUUCACCUACAGACAAAAAAAAGACAAUUAUUUGGUUUAUACUCAAUAUGUCUCUACAUGUAGCAAAUUCUAGCUCAAUCAUUAGUUCAAGUUUUGAUAGUACUAUAUUUUUAGAUUUGAACUAAGACUACAUGAUUAUAAUUCAUGAUGAUAAAAUUGAGUUCUAUAGACCAGAUGGAAGAUGUCCAUGACUCUCGAAAAAAUAUUUAACCAUACUUGCCGCCAGUCCCUUGAGCCUAGCAUUAAAGUAUAUUAAAGGGAUAGUAAUCUAUAGGUUUAAUUUAAAACUACUAUAAAAAAAAAAAUGACAAUUUAUAUUGGUAUUGGAGCCAGUAUUUACAUUCUAUAUUCCUUACAAUGACUUCCAUUAGUUCGUGUAGAAAAAUCUUUUCUAUCUAAUGUUUUAAGUUGAAUUGAAUUAUUAUCAAAGACUUCUUUGAUAAUAUAAGGCCCGGUCCAAAGUGCAUCAAAUUUGGCUGGAAAUUCUAGUUUCUUAGCAUCUUGAACCAUCACCCACAUUCUUGGAGUAAGAAGAUGUUUUUUUAUCUUUUUAUCAAAGAUUUCCUUCCUUCUCCUCUGAGUUGUUUCUAUGUGUUGAGUUGCAAACCUAUGAAUCUCACUAAGUCUUUCUAGAUGCUCUAAUCGUUCUUAAAAAGAUUGAGAAGUAUCCAAUCUUUCAUAAAUGGCUAUACGUAAGGAUGGGACUUCAAAUUCUAUUCGCAAAAUGGCUUCUAUUCCAUAUACCAAAGAAAAAUAUGUAGCUCUUGUAAAAACCUUGUAAGUAGUUUGAUAAGCCCAAAGUGCUAAAGUAAGUUUAAGAUCCCAAUCAUACUUAGAAUCUAUUACAGUUUUUUUCAAUAUCCGAACUAACAUUUGAUUAACCCUUUCUAUAAGACCAUUUGUUUGAGGAUGAUUGGAAGAAGUCUUCCUAUAAUUGAUGGUAAAAAAUGUGGUCAUUUCUUUAAUAGGUUCAUUUAAAAAAUGAAUACCAUUGUCAUUCACAAGGAUUUUUGGACAACCAAAAUAAGCUAUGAUAUUUUCAUAUAGGAAUAUGACAGUUUAUUUAGCAUCCUCUUUCUUCACAGCUGUUGCUUCUGCACAUUUGGUGUCAUGGACAUACUCAUAUAAGCCAAUAAUUACAUAUAUAAAUAGGUAGAAGUAAGUAAAAAUAGAUAAAAGUAAGUUAAUUCUAUAGUAUUUAAUAUAUAAGCUUCUUAGAAGCUUUAUAGAUGCUACUUUGACUUUAUAGGUAUCUUUAAUUGACUUUUUGGAUUAGAAACAUGGUCAACAAGUUGGCCAUGUGCCACACAUGUUGUUAGCUUAAAGACCAAGCUAACAAUGUGGCCUACACGUAGAAAAACUUGCCUUGUAAGUCAAGGCAUGUGUCCUACAAAGUCAACACUUAUUAGAGGUUCUAUAGAAUGUUGCCAUGUAGCCUCCAGUUAGGUAGUAUAUAUAGAGACAAGAGUGAAGCCUUCUUCACUCUUGUCAACUCUUUUCUUGCUUCCAGUCUAAUUUCAAGGGUCUCUAGUUUUCUUGUCUUUUGGCAAAAGCCAUUCCAGUUUUUCUUUCAAUAUACAUACUUGUUUAUUUAUAUUUUGUUACCUUUCUUUGACUGAAGGCUCACUUGUCUGAAUUGUUUUUUCAUCGAGUUCUUGUCCUUAACAGAUUGACAAGACUACACCUAUAAUAUCAGAGCUUUGUCUAAUCUUCAUUAAGAGUGGAUUAUCCUUUUUUCUUGAUAAGACAUAAGGAUAUUAGAAGUUGCGGAUUACCCUCUUCUAAACUGAUAUUGUUCUUAGUAUUUUCUUUGUUCUCAAGUCCUCUCUUCUAUUUGUUUUGAGUAAUAUUAGACAUCUUCUCUUUUCUAAGUAUUAUCACGACAAAACUUGUUGAAAUAAAGAAUGAAAUGGCACAAAUGCAAGAGCAAUUGAGGGAGUUAAUGCUUGCCAUGUAUCAACUCAACUUACCACGACAACUAACAACAAGAUUGGUAGGAAGUGAAGAUAUAGAAAUGAUUGGAGCUGCUUCAACAUCUGUACCAAAUCAUGUCCCUUUUCCUAUAUUAGAAUGCCCUUCUAAUAUUAGAGAACCAAGAAUUGUCCUACUCGAGAAGUUUGAUGGUACUAUAUCAAAGUUUAAAGGAUUUAUCAAUCAAGUACAACUUGUGAUUGAACUUCAACUCCAAAGCUAUCCAACUCUAGGAUCGCAAGUGUCAAGGACAAGAACUCGAUGAAAGCUAAAGAGUAAGUGAGAUUUUUCUCAAAAAGAAAUAGGACAAAAUAGAAAUAUGUAUAUUAAGAAAGAAACUGGAAUGGCUAUUGCCAAAAUACAAGAAAAACUAGAGACCCUUGAAACUAGACUAGAAGCAAGAAAGGAGUUGACAAGAGUGAAGAGGGCUUCACUCUUGCCUCUAUAUAUACUAUCUAACUAGAAGCCACGUGGCGAUGUUCUAUAAGACCUCCAAUAUAUGUUGACUUUCUAGGCCACAUGUCUUUGCUUGCAAGGCAAGUUUUCUAUGGAUGGACCACGUAGUUAGCUUGUUCUUUAAGCUUCCAACAUGUGUGGCACAUGGCUAACUUGUUGACCAAGUUUCUAACCUAAAAGUCAACUAUAGACUCCUAUAAAGUCAAAGCAGCAUCUAUGAAGCUUCUAAGAAGCUUCUCUAGAAGAUAUUACACAAUUAACCUAAUUUUAUCUACUUUUACAUACUUUUAUCUAUUCAUAUAGGUAAUUAUAUGUAUGUCCGUGACAUUACCCCCCCUUCUAGGGACGAGUUCCAAGAGGAGCGGUGAUUAUAUAUUGAGAAGAUUUAAUAUGCGGUGAAUUGUAUUUGCUACAUACUCUGAUCUUUGUUCUCUUCGAAGAUAGUUGAUGGGUCCUCUUAGCCAUUGAUAGUGUCCCAUUCCAGGGCGAGAAGACCACCCUGUUAUUUGAUCACUGUUGAGGCCUUCAUAACUUCCUUCAAAUAAUACAUUUGAAACACCAUCAAGAGUCGUUCCUAUCUCCAAUAAUAUCACCAAACAUCGAGAAUCUCUUCCAAGGUCGUGAUACCAAACGCGUUGUAUCUCACCAUCUAUUCGAGGAAGAACAUGUCGUUCUUGAGGGUCUUUAUCUCGGUUGCGUCGUCUUGAAGGUUGUGACAAUCGCAAUGUCUCAUCCGGUAAGUCAGCAAACGAAGGUUCUUGAGUUGAAUCCGCUGGUUGUUGGCUCUCCAUCUAAUUAGCGUCACAAAAUGCAAAGAAGUUACAAACAAGGAUAGGAGAUUGAAUGUUAUCUUGCCUCAAUCUUGUCUCUUUUAUAAGAGAGGUUUUCAUCUUGGUUUUGAUGGAUGUCGUUGAUGAAAAACUUUGACUUUAGCUGAUGCAUUUGCUAGAUUCCUGGAUGGCUCCCAUGUACGCUCACUAAUAUCAUAUCCGCACCAAUGAACAAGAUAUUCCAGCUUAUUUUGGCGCCGCCUUGAGUCUAAUAUCUCUUCCACCUCAAAUUCUUCAUUAUUAUCUACUUCUAUAGGAGGCGGUGGCAUUUGUCUUCUUCCUUGUAUAUCCACUGUCUUAUAUGGUUCAAGAAGAGACACGUGGAAUACAGGAUGGAUCUUCAUUGACUCCGGUAGAUGUAACCGAUAUGCAACUGGGUUGAUCUGUUCAGAAACAGAAAAGGGGCCAAGCCUACGAUAGUCCAAUUUGUCACAAGGUCGAGUAGUCUUGAUAUUGCGACAAAAUAGCCAUACCUUAUCACCCACGUUGAGUUGUGGUUGUUCUUUACGAUAUACAUCUACAUUUAUCUUUUGUCGUUCUUGAGCUUUCUUCAACUGCGCCUUCAUUAUUGCAUGUAACUCUGACAACCGAUUUGCCAUAUCUUCUACUGCAGGAUUAUCAACUUUUGAAAAAUCAAAAGUAUCAAGUCGUGGAUGAUAGCCAUAAUUGGCAAAGAAAGGUGUUUGUUGCGUGGAGGAAUGUACCGUAUUAUUAUAAGCAAACUCUGCCAAUGGCAGAAGGUUUGUCCAAUCAUCUUGUUGGUAGUUGAUGGUACACCUUAAAUACUGUUCAAAGAUUUGGUUUACGCGCUCUAUUUGUCCAUCAGUUUGAGGAUGGAAAGCUGAAGAUAGCUUUAUGUCCACUUUUAAAAUCUUGAAAAGAGUCCUCCAGAAUCUCGACACAAAUUGAGUUCCCCUAUCUGAUAUGAUAUCUUUAGGUAAUCCAUGAUAGCGAUAGAUAUUAUCAAUGAAAAGCUUAGCUGUUUCUUCACUUGUGAUAGAUUUUGUACAUGGCAUAAAAUGUGCCAUCUUGGUGAAACGAUCUACUAUCACAAAUAUAGAAUCAUAAGAUCUUGAGUUUGAAAGAUCUGUGAUGAAAUCCAUAGAAACAGAAGACCAUGGUUGUUCUGGUAUAGGUAAUGGCUGAAGAAGUCCGUAAGGUCGAUGUCAAGGAAUUUUUGAUCUUGAACAAAUAUCACAUGAUUGUACAAAGUCUUUGACUGACUUCCACAUUUGUGGCCACCAAAAAUCUCUUGAUAUGAGUUCCAGAGUCUUAUUAUAUCCAAAGUGCCCUGCUGCUGGAAAGUCAUGACGUGCUUGAAGAAAACGCAAACGUACUUUUCCUUCUGGAACAUAUAGGCGUCCUUCAAAAUAUAAUAGAUUAUUCUUGAACUCGAACUUAGAAGAAUCAUGAGACUUGGAAGAAUUAUUCUCGAUAUCAUGAACAAGAGGGUUUGAGGACAUACUGGACUGGAUUUGCUUGAGAAAAGUUGAAUCAACAGUCAAUGUUGAUUUCAUUGCUCGGAGAUGAAAUUGCUCCGGUUUCAAGAGGACCGUUCUUUGUUGCUCAAAAGCUGCAUCUCCUUCUUUUGGUGCAAAAUAAGAACGUCUAGACAGGGCAUCGGACAAACCUUGUUGUUUUCCUGGUCGAUAAGUGAUAAUGAAGUCGAAUCUUGACAAAGACAUACUCCAACGAGCUUGACGACGAUUCAUUACGCGUGCUGACAUGAAAUACUCGAGGUUCUUGUGAUCUGUAUAUACAGUGACUGGACUAGAAACACCUUCUAGAUAAUGACGCCAUUCUUGAAAGGAAUCCACGAUUGCAAGAAGUUCUUUAUCGUGGAUCUCAUAAUUGAUCUCGGCUGCUGAGAAUUUUCUUGAAUGAAAAGCUAUCAGAUGAAGUUUGUCAUCUGUUCCCAUUUGUGAUAAAAUUGCACCCAAGGCAAAAUCCGAUGCGUCUGUUUCCAUAAAAAAUGCCUUGGAAAAGUCAACACGAUAUAAGACUGGUGUAGAGACAAACGAUGUCUUCAAGGCUUCAAAUGAUGCUUCCGCUUCUUGAUUCCAUUGGAAUUUAUCUUUACUAGUCAAGCGUGUAAGUGGAGCUGCAACUCGUGAGAAGUCUUUGAUGAAGAUCCGAUAGUAAUUGGAAAAUCCCAAGAAACAUUGGACAUCUCUUCUAGUCUUUGGAAUCUUCCAAUCCAUGAUUGUUUGGACUUUCUUAGAAUCCAUCAUAAGACCAUCAUUUGAAAUGAUGUAUCCUAAAAAGUCAACUUGAGUAGUGUGAAAUACACACUUUUCCAUCUUGGCGUACAAUCCUGCAUCUCUAAGUUUUUGUAAUACUUGACGAACAUGUAUUUCAUGUUCUUCAACAUUCUUAGAAUAAAUCAGGAUAUCGUCUAGGUAGCAGACGACAAAAUUGUCUAAGAAUUCACGAAAUACAUCAUUCAUGAGAUGUUGAAAAGCAGCUGGUGCAUUCGUGAGUCCAAAAGGCAUGACAUUAUAUUCAAAAUGCCCGUACCUAGUUCGAAACGUAGUCUUCCAUUCAUCUCCUUCUUUGAUCCGUACUAGAUUAUAUGCUCCUCUUAGAUCUAUUUUUGUAUAGAUCUUAGCUUGAUUUAACUGGUCAAGGAGUCCUGAUAUCAAAGGUAAUGGAUACCUGUUCUUCAUUGUGAUCUUGUUGAGUCCUCGAUAGUCAACACACAUUCGUAAAGAUCCAUCUUUUUUCUUUACGAAUAAAAUUGGAGCUCCUACUGGAGAUUUUGAAUGGCGUAUGAAAUUCUUCGCUAAAUUCUCGUCAAUAUAUGUCUUGAGUUCAGCCAACUCAUCUUGCGAUAAACUGUAAAUUGGUCCAAAUGGUGGCAGAGUUCCUUCCUUGAGAUCGAUUGAACAAUCGUAUGGGCGAUGCUCAGGAAGAAUAUCUGCAUUCUUUUUCUCAAAAACGUCUUGAUAAUCCUGAUAUUGACUUGGAAUGCCACUUGAAGUCUUUACGCUUUCAGAAAUAGGUGCAGUAUAAAUAGCAAAAGUUGAUCCUUCUUUUGCUGCGUGUAUAAAUGCUUUUGCACCUAUAAGUGCGAGUUUUACUAUACUAGACUCAUGGUUUUUUACUUGAUUAAUAGAACCGUUACUAAUGCUCCGAGGAAAAUCAAGUUUACGAGAAAUCCAAUCUAUUCGAGGAUUAUACUUUUCUAACCAUGAUAAGCCUAAAAUUACUGGAUUAGAGGGAGAUCUAAUUAUAUUAAAAAUUACGCACCUACUAUGACCAUUUAUUACUACAUCUACAGGAAGUGUUUCGUGAGUUACAUCUCCAGAAGACAACGGACGACCAUCUAUGACUUCUACGUGUACAGGUUUAGUUUUUUGUAUUAAUGAUAUUCUAUGACAUCUAGCAAAUUCUUCAUCUAAAAAACAAGAUGAGGCUCCUGAAUCUACCAAGGCAGAGGCUUUGUAAUUAUUAGGUCCUAAACGCACAUCUAUUAUAAAACAAGGAGAUGGUUCUGAGGAGAGGAUAGGACCUUCAUUAGAAGUUGUACAAGAUUCCAGCCGCACGGUCCCUAUUGUAGCUGGACGUACUCGUUUUCCGACAUACUGUCUUCUUUGACAGCCGUACUCCUCAUUUUGUAGUUAUGUCGCUUCUUUGGACAAUGUUGAGCAGUGUGCUUAGGUUCUCCACAAUAUAAGCACAAUCCUUCUUGUCGACGACGAGACUUUUCUUGUUCAGUAAGAGGUUUGAAACGUACCGCAUCAAUUUGCAUAUCCUCUACUUCUGAAGGUAUGUGUUGAGGAGACGUCGGUGUUGCUAUUGAAUUGUAGUAACGUUGAGGCCCACUUGUGCGACUCUCGGAUCGAAAUUCAAAAAGUCGAUUGUCGCACUUCACAGCAAAGUCAAUUGCUUGACUCAAUGUUUGAGGAUCAGGUAAAUUAAGCAUCAAUUUCUUUACCUCAUAUUGUAAUCCAUAGAGAAAUUGACUCACAAGUGCGGCAUCAUCCCACUUGAUAUCAGUUACAAGUUGUCGAAAUUGCGAAGCAUAUAAUGUUACUGAUCGAUUGCCUUGUCGCAAAAUACGGAUCUUGUUGGUUGCAACACGAAUUGCAUCAUGUUCUCCAAACAUGGAUCGAAACUCUACCAAAAAAGCCUCCAGAUUAUCCAAUAUUGGAUCUCGUCGUUCAAGAAAAGAUGAAAACCAUGACAAUGCUGAACCUGAAAGAAGUGUACCAAUGAAUCUAACUUGUGACCCUGGAGUUGGAUAGCUCUGGGGUUGAAGUUCAAUCACUAGUUGGACCUGAUUAAUGAAUCCUCGAAACUUGGAUCUGGUACCAUCAAACUUCUCGGGCAAGGCAACUCUCGGUUCUCUAACACUCGAAGGGUGUUCCAUUCUGGGAGAAGAGACAUGGUUUGGUGCAGAUGUUGAAGCAGCCCCAAUCAUCUCUAUAUCUUCACUUCCUACCAUUCUUGUUGCUCCUUGUGGUGGUAAAUUGAGUUGAUGCAUCGCAAGCAUUAACUCCCUCAAUUGUUCUUGCAUCUGUGCCAUUGCACUCUUCAUUUCAACAAGCUCUGCCAUAGUAGCACUUAGAAAAGAGAAGAUGUCUAAUAACGCUCAAAACAAAUAGAAGAGAGGAAUUGAUAACAAAGAAAAUACUAAGAACAAUAUCAGUUUAAAAGAGGGUAAUCCGCAACUUCUAAUGCGCUUAUGUCUUAUCAAGAAAAAAGGGCUAAUCCACUCUUAAUCAAGAAAAGACAAAGCUCUGAUAUUGUAAGUGUACUCUUGUCAAUCUGUCAAGGACAAGAACUCGAUGAAAGCUAAAGAGUAAGUGAGACUUUUCUCAAAAAGAAAUAGGACAAAAUAGAAAUAUGUAUAUUAAGAAAGAAACUGGAAUGGCUAUUGCCAAAAUACAAGAAAAACUAGAGACCCUUGAAACUAGACUAGAAGCAAGAAAGGAGUUGACAAGAGUGAAGAGGGCUUCACUCUUGCCUCUAUAUAUACUAUCUAACUAGAAGCCACGUGGCGAUGUUCUAUAAGACCUCCAAUAUAUGUUGACUUUCUAGGUCACAUGCCUUUGCUUGCAAGGUAAGUUUUCUAUGGAUGGACCACGUAGUUAGCUUGUUCUUUAAGCUUCCAACAUGUGUGGCACAUGGCUAACUUGUUGACCAAGUUUCUAACCUAAAAGUCAACUAUAGACUCCUAUAAAGUCAAAGCAGCAUCUAUGAAGCUUCUAAGAAGCUUCUCUAGAAGAUAUUACACAAUUAACCUACUUUUAUCUACUUUUACAUACUUUUAUCUAUUCAUAUAGGUAAUUAUAUGUAUGUCCGUGACAGCAAGUUAGAUUCAUUGGUACGCUUCUUUCAGGUUCAGUACUAUCGUGGUUUCCAUCUUUUCUUGAACGAUAAGGUCCAAUAUUAAAUAAUCUAGAGGCUUUUUUGGUAGAGUUUCGAUCCAUGUAUGGAAAACAUGAUGCAAUUCGUGUUGCAACCAAUAAGAUCCAUAUUUUACGACAAGGCAAUCGAUUUGUAACGUUGUAUGCUUCUCAAUUUUGACAACUUGUAAUUAAUAUCAAGUGGGAUGAUGCUGCUUUUAUUAGCAAAUUUCUCUACGGAUUACAAUAUGAGGUAAAAAAUUAAUGCUCAACUUACCUGAUCCUGAAACAUUGAGUCAAGCAACUGACUUUGUUGUAAAGUGCGACAAUUGCCUUUUUGAAUUUUGAUCUGAGAACCGUACAAGUGGACCUCAAUGUUACUAUAAUUCAAUGGCAACACCAACAUCUCUUCAACACAUACAUUUGAAAGUAGAGGAUAUGCAAAUUGUUGUAGUAUAUUUUAAAUCUCUUACUGAGGAAAAAAAGACUCAUCAUCGUCAAGAAGAAUUAAAUUAAUAUUAUGGAGAAUCAAUUUUCACUGCUCAACGUUGUCCAAAGAAACAACGCAACCACAAAAUGAAGAGUAUGGCUGUCAAAGAAGACAAUAUGUCAGAAAACGAGUUUGUUCAGCUACAAUAGGGACUGUGUAGCUAGAACCUUGUACAACAUCUAAUAAAGGUCCUAUUUUCUCCUCAGAGCCCUUUCUUUGUUUUAUAUUUAAUGUUAUUUUAAGACCUAAACAUUACAAAGCCACUAUCUUAUUAGAUUCAUGAGCCUGAGUGUGUUUCUUAGAUGAAGAAUUUACCAAAAGACAUAGCAUAUCUUUAGUAAAGAAAACUAAACUUGUUCAUGUAGAAGUCAUAGAUAGUCGUCUAUUAUCUUCUGGAGAUAUUACUCACAAAAACCUUCCUAUAGAAGUAAUAAUCAAUAGUCAUAAUAGCUUUGUAGUAUUUAAUAUCAUUAGAUCUUCCUCUAAUCUAGUCAUUUUAGAUUUAUCAUGGUUAGAAAAAUACAACCCUCAAAUAGAUUGGAUUUCUCAAACUCUUACUUUCUCUAAAAAUAUAAGUAACAGUAUAGUUAAUUAAGUAGAGAGUCAUAAGUCCAGUUCAAUUAAACCCAUGUUUAUAUGUACAAAAGCUUUCUUACAUGCUGCUAUGAAAGAAUCACCAUAUAUUAUUUAUGCCACAUCCGUUUCUAAUGGUACAAAGACUUCACGUGGCAUUCCAAGCCAAUAUCAAGAAUUUUAAGAUGUAUUUAAAAAAAAGAAUGUAGGUACACUCCCGGAACAUCGUCCCUAUGAUUACUCAAUUGACCUUCAAGAAGGAGCACAACCGCCAUUCGGACCAAUCUACAGUUUAUCACAAAAUGAAUUCACUGAACUCAAGGAGUAUAUUGAAGAUAAUCUAGCCAAGAAUUUCAUACGCCAUUCUAAAUCUCUGACAUGAGCUCCAAUUCUAUUUGUGAAGAAAAAAGAUGGAUCAUUGUGGAUGUGUGUUGAUUAUCGAGAACUCAACAAGAUUACCAUCAAGAAUAGGUAUCCACUACAUUUAAUAUCUAGACUUCUUGAUCAACUAAAUCAAGCUAAGAUCUAUAAAAAAAUAGAUCUCCAAGGAGCAUACAAUCUAGUACGCAUCAAAGAAAGAGAUGAAUGGAAGACUGUGUUUCAAAUUAAGUAUGGACAUUUUGAAUACAACAUCAUGCCUUUUGGACUUACAAAUGCACCAGCAGCUUUUCAACAUCUAAUGAAUGAUGUUUUUCGAGAGUUUUUGGACGAUUUUGUGGUCUAUUAUCUAGAUGACAUCUUGAUCUAUUCUAAGAAUUCAGAAAAAUAUGAACUUCAUGUUCGUCAUGUGUUGCAAAAAUUAAGAGAUGCGAGACUAUAUGCUAAGUUAAAAAAGUAUGUAUUCCAUACUAUUCAAGUCGAUUUUUUAGAUUACAUCAUUUCAAAUGAUGGACUUAUGAUGGAUCUUAAGAAAGUUCAAACUAUUAUAGAUUGGAAGAUUUCAAAAAUGGUAAGAGAUGUCUAAUGCUUUUUGGGAUUUGCCAACUACUAUUGGAUCUUCAUCAAAGACUUUUCUCGAGUUGCAGCUCGACUUAUAUGUUUGACUUGUAAAAACAAACUCCAAUGGAAUCAAGAAGCGAAAGUUGCUUUUGAAUCUUUGAAGACAGCGUUUGUUUGUGCACCAAUCUUAUAUCGUGUUGAUUUUUCCAAAGUAUUCUUGAUGGAAACAAAUGCAUCAAACUUUGCUCUGAGUGCGAUUUUGUCACAAAUGGGAACAGAUGACAAACUUCAUCCAAUAGCCUUUCAUUCAAGAAAAUUCUCAGCAACAAAAAUCAAUUAAGAGAUCCACGAUAAAGAACUUCUUGGAAUAAUAGAUUCUUUUUAAGAAUAGCAUCAUUAUCUAGAAGGUGCUUCUAGUCUAAUCACCGCAUAUACAGAUCACAAGAACCUCGAAUAUUUCAUAUCAAUACGCAUAUUAAAUCAUCAUUAAGCUUGUUGAAGCAUGUCUUUAUCGAGAUUCGAAUUCAUCAUCACUUAUCGACCAGAAAAAUAACAAGGUUUGUUUGAUACCUUGUCUAGACAUUUUUAUCUUGCACCAAAAGAAGGAGAUGCAGCUUUUGAGUAAUAAAGAAUAGUUUUCUUGAAGCCAAAGCAAUUUCAUCUUCAAGCAAUAAAAUCAAUAUUGACUGUUGAUUUAACUUUUUUUAAGUAAGUGUAAUUAAAUAUGUCUUCAGACCUUCUUGUUCAUGAUAUUAAGAAUAAUUCUUCUAAAUCUCAUGAUCUCUCUAAAUUCGAGUUCAAGAACAACCUACUCUAUUUCAAAGGACACCUAUAUGUUCCAAAAAGAGAAGCAUGUUUACGUAUUCUUCAAGCUUGUCACGACUUCCCAACAGCAGGAUAUUUUGGAUACAAUAGGACUUUAGAGUUGAUAUCUAGAGAUUUUUGGUGGCCUCAAAUGUGGAAGGCAGUCAAAGAUUUUGUACAAUCAUGUGAUAUUUGCUCAAGAUCAAAAACUCCGCAUCAUUGACCUUUUAGACUUUUUCAACCAUUAUCCAUUCUAGAACAACCAUGGUCUUUUGUUUCUAUGGACUUUAUCACGGAUCUUCUAAUCUCAGGUUUUUAUGACUCUAUAUUCGUGAUAGUAGAUCAUUUUACCAAGAUGGCACAUUUUGUACCAUGUAUAAAAUCUAUCACAAGUGAAGAAACAACUAAGGUCUUUCAUGACAAUAUCUAUCGCUAUCAUGGAUUAUCCAAGGAUAUUAUAUCAGAUAGGGGAACUCAUUUUGUAUCAAGAUUUUCGUGGACUCUUUUCAAGAUUCUAAAAUUAGAUAUAAAACUAUCGUUAGUAUUUCAUCUUUAAACUGAUGGACAAACGGAGCGUGUUAAUCAAGUUUUGGAGCAAUAUUUAAGAUGUACCAUUUACUACCAAUAAGAUGAUUGGACAACUCUUUUGCCAUUGGUAGAGUUUGCUUACAAUAAUAUAGUACAUUCUUCUACAAAAUAAAUACCUUUCUUUGCUAAUUAUGGUUAUCAUCUAUGACUUGAUACUUUUGACUUUUCAAAAGUUGAUAAUCCUGCUAUGAAAGAUUUGGCGAUUCAUUUGUUAGAGCUACAUAAAAUGAUGAAGGCGCAGUUAAUAGAGGCUCAAGAACAACAAAAGAUCGAUGCGGAUGUCUAUCGAAAAGAACAACCACCAUUCCACUUGGGUGAUAAGGUAUGGCUACUUUGUCGUAAUAUGAAGACCACUUGUCUUUUUGAUAAGUUGGAGUAUCAAAGGCUGUGACCAUUUUCUAUUUCUGCACAAAUUAAUCUAGUUGCAUAUCGUUUACAUCUAUCGGAGUCAAUGAAAAUCCAUCCAAUAUUCCACAUGUCUCUUCUUGAACCAUACAAGACAAUGGACAUACUAAGAAGACGACAAGCUCCACCUCCUACUAUAGAAGUGGACAAUAAUAAAGAGUUUGAAGUGGAAGAAGUCUUAGAUUCAAGGCGGCGCCGAAAUAAAUUAGAAUAUCUUAUCCAUUGGCGCUAAUAUGAUAUUAGUGAACGCACAUGGGAGCCAGUAAAGAAUCUUAUAAAUGUAGCAAAGGUGGUGGAGGCUUUUCAUCGACGACAUCCAUCAAAACUAAGAUGAAAACCUUCUUUAUAAAAGAAACAACAUUUAGGCAAGAUAAUAUUCUACUUUCAAUCCUUGUUUGUAGCUUCUUUGUAGUUGUGACGCUCAGGAAAUGGAGAACCAACAACUAGUGGAUUCGACUCAAAAGCCUUCAUUUGCUGACCUACUAGAUGAGACAUUAAAAUUGUCACAACCUUUAAGACAAUGCAAUUAAGAUAAAGAUCUUCAAGAACGACAUAUUUUUCCUGGAAUAGAUAGCGAGAUACAACGUAUUUGGUAUCAUGAUUUGGAAAGGGACUCCCGAUGUUUGGUGAUUUUGCUAGAAGUAGGAACAACUUCUGAUGGUGUUCCAAAUGUUCUAUUCAAAGGAAGUUAUGAAGGCAUCAACAAUGAUCAAAUAACUGAGUGGUCUUUCCGCCCUAGUAUGAGACACUACCGAUGGUUGAGAGGCCCUAUCAAUCAUCUUCAAAGAAAACAAAGAUCAGCGUAUGUGGCGAAUACAAUUUGUCGCAUCAUAGAUUUUCUCAACAUAUGAUGACCACUCUUCGUGGAACUCUUCCCUAGAAGGGGAGGUAAUGUCAUGGACAUAUUCAUAUAAGCCAAUAAUUAUAUAUAUAAAUAGGUAGAAGUAAGUAAAAGUAGAUAAAAGUAAGUUAAUUCUAUAAUAUUUGAUAUAGAAGCUUCUUAGAAGCUUCAUAGAUGCUACUUUGACUUUAUAGGUGUCUUUAAUUAAGUUUUUGGAUUAGAAACGUGGUCAAUAAGUUGGCCAUGUGUCACACAUGUUGUUAACUUUAAGACCAAACUAACAAUGUGGCCUAUACGUAGAAAAACUUGCCUUGUAAGUCAAGGCAUGUAUCUUACAAAGUCAACACUUAUUGGAGGUCCUAUAAAACGUCGCCACAUAGCCUCUAGUUAGGUAGUAUAUAUAGAGACAAGAGUGAAGCCUUCUUCACUCUUGUCAACUCUUUUCUUGCUUCCAGUCUAAUUUCAAGGGUCUCUAGUUUUCUUGUCUUUUGGCAAUAGCCAUUCUAGUUUUUCUUUCAAUAUACAUACUUAUUUGUUUAUAUUUUGUUACCUUUAUUUGAGUGAAGGCUUACUUAUCUGAAUUACUUUUAUAUCGAGUUCUUAUCCUUUAUAUUUGGUCAAAUAUUCUAUAGCUACAAUGAUAUAUUACAUUUGACCUGAAGAUGCAAGAUAAACUGAUCCAAUAUAAUUUAUGCCCUAUUUUUCAAAUAAAACAAGUGGAAGUGAAGGAUUUAAAGGCAUUGCAAGAUUUAAAUCAUUGCGUGCAUAUCUUUUGUAAGCAUCACAAGAUCUUACAUAAGACUCUGAAUUGAUAAAUAUUAUAGGCCAAAAAUAGCCUAUUCUAAGGAUUUUUUGAGCUGAUAAUUGACCAGAGAAGCAUCCACCACAAGCACUUGAAUGACAAGCUUCUAUUACAAAUGGUACUUCUUCAUGAGUAAGACAAUGUCUUAAAAUUCCAUCAAUUCCUUGAUGAUAUAAUUUCUUAGCUAUAAGAGCAAAAUGGGUACUAUUCACUCUAAUCUUUUGUCGUUCAUUUUUAGAUAGAACAUUGGAUAAUUUUUGAGUACUCAAAAAUUUAGUAAUAUGUUCAUAUGAUGUAGGAGCCACCAUAACAUGGAACAAAUGAGCAUCACAAAGUUCAUCAUCUACAUCUUGGAUACCAAUAGUUGUAGAUAAUUGUGAAAGAUGAUCGGUUUAUUUGAGUUGUUUUUCUAAAUUGUAUUGCACUGUAUAAUCAAAUUCUGCUAGAAGUAAUAUCUACCUUCUUAAUCUACCACUUAAAUCUGGUUUAUUCACAAUAUAUCUAAGGCCAUGUGAUCUACAAAGAAAAUAAACUUGUUCAUCAAAAGAUAAUGGCAGAAAUUUUUGACACUAAAGACGAUAGCCAAACAUUACCGUUCCGUGGUUGUAUAGUUGCAUUCAACAUUUGUCAAUUGUUUACUAGCAAAAGCAAUAGGGUGAAUCACACCCUUAUCAUCUGGUUGGCACAAGGCACUAUCUACUGCCAAUUCAAAUGCAUCACAAUAGACAUAGAAAGGUUGAUCCCAAUUUGGAGGUAGUAGACAAGGAUAUGAAAGCAAUUUGGCUUUAAUUGUAUCAAAACCGAUUUGGCAUUCAGAAGUCCAUUAAAACUUGGUGGUCUUCUUCAACAAAUUAGUCAAUGGAGAGGCAUGACUAGAAUAUGAUUCAAUCAAAUCACGAUACCAGCCCAUAUGUCCUAAAAUCUUUUGAAUGUCUUUUAUUUCAUUUGGAGGUAGUAGGUUUAUAAUAACCUCUACUUUUUUAGGAUCAAGUAAUUUUUCCUUCUUAGAAAUAAUAUAACCUACUAAAACUCCUCUUUUAAUUGUCAAAUAAAUCUUGUUUGGAUUGAGGGAAAUUCCUACUCUUCUACAAUGUUAAAAACUUAAUUAAAGGCUUACAAAGUGAUCAUUUUUUGAAGAUUGACAACUAAAGUUAUGAAUAAAAACCGACAUAGUGUUUUGAAGAAGGUCCGAGAAUGCAUAAGUCAUGACUUUUUGAAAAGUUGAAGGAGUAUUGUAUAAGCCGAAAGGCAUUACUACAUAUACAAAAGUUCUUCAAGGUGAUGUAAAUGGAGUCUUAUGCCAAUCUUCAAGAGCUAUUGAUACUUGAUUGUAAUCAAAGUAGUCAUCCAUAAAACUAUAGAUGUCAUGACCUGCCACAUCAUCUACUAUAGAAGUGAUAAAAGAUAAUAAAAAAUGGUCUUUUUGAGUGUAUUUAUUUAGAUUCUGAUAAUCCACACACACCUUGAGUUUAUUUCUUCCCUUUUUCUUCAUCAAGACAAUAUGAAACAACUAAUUUGUAAUUUCCAUAGGCUUUAUAAAUCCCGCUUGAAGUAGCCUUUUUAAUUUUGUUUUCACAAUGAGUUGCAUUUAGGAUUGAGUCUUCUAUAUUUUUGUCUAACAAGUGUUGUAUUUCUAAGAAGUAGAAUAACAUGUUGACAAAUGUUAGGAGGAAUACCUUUUAAAUCUUUAUAAGACCAUGCAAAUAUAUCUCGAUAUUCCAUCACUAAAGAUUUAUAUUUUGCAAGUUCUUCACCUAAUUGGAAUCUAAACUUGACACAUUUGGAUUCUUCUUCAUUAUGAUUUACUAGAAUUUUUAUCCAAUCUUGUUCUACUACAUGUAUGACAUCAGUCGAUCCAUGGUACCAAUCUUUAGGUACUGGUGGAUAAGUUGGUAUAUCAUGUCCAACUUCAAUGACUUGUGAAGUACAUUUGAAUUGUAACAGAAAAGGCAUGAUGGUUCUUUCCUUCAUAAUAGUAUCCAAAUCAUCUACUUGAGUUCCAUCGAUUUCUAAACUAAAAGCUUCAUUUAUACAAAUAUCAUCAACUAAGGUUGCAAAAUCUGGACAAUCAUCUUCAAGUUCCAACUAAUCAAUUACUUCUAUAAAUCGAAUGUAGAUGUCUUCUUCUUCAUACAGAUUUUCUUCUAAUCAUUUUGUAAAAUUACCCUCAUCUUUAUAUUCAUACAAUCCAAGAUCAAUACAUUUUAUUGGUGCAAUUGUUGAAGUUGAAUUGGAUUGGAUAAAACUACUUUGUUUGGCAUCUAUAGAUGUUGGUAUUUUUGCUAAUAGAGCCAAAGAUUGGAGUCUAAAAUGACAAGAUACUAUGAUUUUUGUGCGAUUGUCUAAUAGUCCAAAAGUAAAAUAAGGCUUAAAAGCCCCUCAAUUUGUUAUUCCUUUAAAUUGCCUCAACCAUCUUUUUUCUAAUAAUAGAAGGUAGCUAUCCACUUCUUCACAUAGACAUAUGAUAUAAAAUGAUACCAUAUAAUCUACACCUCAUGCUUGCAUAUGUAGGUCUCAAAUUUGACCUAAAAGAUGAGAAGAUCUUUGAUCAACUAGUCUUACCUUCAUAACUGCCUUAUGAGUGAUUUUUAAUCCUAAUUUGAUCAUAGUGGAUUCGGGCAUAAUAUUAAUGCUACUUCCAUCAUCUACUAUGACCUUAGGAAUUACUUUAUCUAUUAUUUUUACAUCUAUCUCAAUAGGUCCAUACUUUCUAAUGUCUUUUUUUUCUUCUGAGGUAAUAUCUCCUUCUAAAUCUCCAACUUCAACUCUAGCUAUUCUUUCUGUAUUUUUGGUUUGUCUUUGUAUAAUUACACCUUCUUUGAGGUUUUUUUUAUGGUUGGUGCUACUUGAAUCAAUUGACCAAAAGAAAUGUUGGCUCUAGUCCUACAAUGGUCUUGCCAUAAAUCAUAUGAUUCUACAAGAUUGAAGGCUCCAAUAAUUAUUGGAUGUUUUAACAAGGUAUUAGAAGUCCAAGGCCCUUCUUUGUCCACAAAUUGAUAUUCUUCUUCAUUAGGUUCAAUCAAAGAAGAUGAUUGGUUGUGUUUUAGUUAUUUAGCUACCUAUUGAGUAGUUUUUGUCAAUUCUACAAACUUAGGUAAUUCUUUUGAAGUAUCCAAAGAUAUUUCAUCAUCUUCAAAAAGUACUAAAUCUAUUGGUUUUUUGGCACUCAUACUUUUAGUUACAACCAGAGAAGAUAAAUAUACAUUGUUCUUGAAAAUCUCCUUGUUAUCUAAUUGAAUCAAGUUAGAUUGAGGAGAUGGUAAGAUUGAUGUAGUAAGUACAUCAAGUUGAGCCACUGUAUAUCUAACAUCUUGAGAAGAAUGUGGUUUUUGGUUUUGGUUUUGGUUUUGGUUUUGGAUAUAGGCUACAGAUCCUUGUAAUGUUCCAUGAUUGAUUUUAACUAUUGUUGGAAGAUGAUGAUUUUGACCAUUGCUUGAAAGGUCAUAAUACAUAUUUGAUGGAUUUUUUGUAACAAUAAGAUUUACAAAUCUAACUCCUUAUAUAAUUCCUUUGGUUUGGUUAUUAUAAUCCUUUGAAAAAGAAGUUGAAGAAUUAACUUAGUUGGAUCUUCUAUAAUGACCCAUAGGAUGAGAACCUCUACAAUUUAAGCAUAUAAUUCUAUUUUCAAUGCAACAUUGACCUACUUGAUGUCAUUUUUUACAAGUAGGACAAGGUAUAAUAUUAUUCUUUUGGUUGGAAGGAAGACUAGGACCUUCUUGUCUUGAAUGGUGAAGAAAUCUAUAAGGUUGAGGUUGAUUCUUUUCUAUAAAUGGUUGUUGUAAAAACCAUAAACAAAAUUGAGCAGUGUAAUUUACUUAUCUAUAGUUUGUACACUACAAUCCAAAAGUAUGAAUUCCCAAUUUGUGAUAUCUAGGCUCUAUAGUUGGAGUUUGAUUUUUAACGAGGCAAGACAUUUGUUCACUAAUAGCUUUCAUAAUGUUCAUCAUCUCAUUUUUGAAUACCUCAUUACUUUGCCUUACUUCACUUUUAAAUUCUUCCAAUCGAGUAUUAUAAUAGGUCUUAGUUUGAACUUGAUCAUGUGGAGGUUGUAUAGCUAAAGGUAUUGAAUUGCUAAUUAGUAAGAAAAAAGUAGAAGGUUGUAAGUAGCUUAAAGCUAGAUGUUGCAAGGGUAUAAAAGAGGGUAUUGGUUCUUCUACCCUUCGAAGCAUAUGAUCAUUUUCCUUAUCAAUAACCUCUACUUCCAAAGUGGCUUGAAUGGUUCCUUUUAAGUCUUUAAAACUCUUGUUUAGGAUAUCCCGAAUUGUAGAAGGCAUGGCAAAACCUUGAAUAAAGUAGUGCCUUAUGGUAUCUUCAUUUAAAAGGCUACCAAUAUAUCAAGUAUAUACUACUCGAAAUUGCCUUACGUAAGAAGUAAUAUCUUCUAAAGGACCUUGUCUAAUAGUUAUCAAGGCUAAAAGAGCUUGUUGUUGGCCAAUUACGGACCUAUAUUGAUAGAGAAAUGCUGCUAGAAGUUGUUCCCAUUUAGUGAAUGUCCUUUCUACAUGGGAUCUAUACCAAGCAUACGUAGAAUCUGCCAAGGUUGUUGGAAACCAUAUUAAGUAGUAGCCAUGAUUGGUUACCAAAUUAGAGAUAAAUACUUCUACAAACCUUUCUAUAUGGGCUAUCGGAUCUUCAUUGAUAGAUACAUUAAAUCUUAGAAGGUUAGGUAGAAUUGAUACCCCUGUAAUCCUAAAGGUACUACAAUUGGUAAUCCUCUAGGUAACAUUAUCGGAUCGAUUUGGGUAUUGACUUGGAAGUUGUAGUUAUCUUCAUUGGCUACACUAGUCCUUUGAACUGGAAAUGAUAAAGCUCUACUUGAGGCUCUAAAGGAUGCCCUCUACCAUACUCCAUGCUAAUAGAAGUUUGUGACAUCUUAUCACAAGGUUCUUUUAAUACGUGGGUUUCAAAAACUAUAGGUUCAAUAUAUGAUCUAGAUUGUAAAAUACAUCCAAAUCGCAAAACAAGGCCAGUAGAUGGAAGAUAAUUUAUCUUAGAUUCAAUUCUACGUAGCAUACAACUAAGUAUAUGGCUCUUUAAUGACUCUCUUAAGAUAAAAGACCUAAUAGGUGAUUAAAAAUAAAACAAGUAGACUUUAAAUUAUUUAUAUUUAAUUUUAUGAAAUAACAUAAAAUCCUUUCUCUUCUUACCUAUUUGUGAAGCACAUGAUUUAAUUAUAUACUAAGAUGAAAUCUCGUGCCAAUUUCAAAUUAGUAGUUUCACCCAAUAAUUAAACUUUUCUUACAAGUGACGUACAAGGUCCAACUAAAUACUAAGUUAAGAUCUCAUGCUGAUCUUAAUAUGGAAGAGUCACCUGUUAAUUGGACUUGAUUCACAAUUUAGAGAUUGAAAAAUGAGUCCAAAGGAAGUACAAGUAAUUUAAAAAAAUUAUCACAUGGAUACCACAAAAAUCAGAUGGACGGAGAAAAGAACAACCUGUAGGGCAACCUGUUGCUUUCAAUUUUGUCUCAUGGAGGUCAUCACGUCCUACAAGUACAAGCUCAAUAAUAAAAGAAAGUUAUGCUGGCCAUUAACCCGACUUCACUUUCUACAAAACAACUACAAAUUGAAAUAGCACUUAUGAAUAACUUACUAGGUUUCUUUCAAGCAAAGAUGUCGAGUGGAAAAAUUCCUGAGUCAUAUAAUGGAUUUUAUCCACUUAUGCUAUAAGAGGAUAGAAGGGAUUUAGAUAAUACUUGGACAUAACAAAUCCUUCCAUAUUCCUUCCUAAGUAUAUCUAAACUUGAAAUAAAAAUGAAGAGCUAGGUUUGAAAUCCACCUAAUUUUGCCAAGCUAGUCUCCUUCCUAGCAUGUCUAAAAUUUCAAAUAAAAUUAAAGAGCUCAAGUUUGGAAUCCACCUAAUUUUGCCAAGUUGUGCUCUUUUUCUUCAAUCCACAAUCUGUAUUAGUAAAAUAAAUUUGAAACUAAAUGAUUUUUUUAAAAAUAUAUUCACCUUGAAUUAUAAUUUGAACUUGUUGGUCUUUUCUUUUCUUCUUUUCUUCUUUUUUUUUACUUAUUCUAAAUUUUUUCUAUCUAGUUCUUUGACCUAUUUAUUCUUCUUGAAUCUCUUUUUUUUUUGUUGAUGAAGAAUUUCCUUGAAUUCUUCUUAAGCUCCUUCUACACUACUUCUGUGAAUAGAAGGGAUAUGAGGGGUGGAGGGAGUGAUUAAAUCUUCCUACCACUAGAGAAAGGCCCUUAAUUAGAAAAUUUACGAGGGGGAGUGAUGAAACCUCGAAGAUGAGCUCCACCCUUGAUGCUCAAUUGUAUUUGCUCAAGGUAGCAGCCUCUCUCUACUCCAAAAGUCACCACAAAUUCAAUUUUGAUUCAAAAUCAUUGAAAUUUGUACCACUACAACCUCAACUUUGAAGUUCUUGUUAUCAAAAAAAUUCACUAUGAAAUAAUUACACGGCACUAAGAAAUGCCUUGUCAAAGACAUGGUAUAUAAAACUGCCAAGGCAAAAAACCCUCUUGUAUUCGAAAAUUCACCACAAAUUCGUUAUAGCUCUAAUUUGAGCAUAUAAUAUCUUUUUAGUAAGCUAACAGCAAGAUACAUGCAAAGUAUUAACUUCAACUAUCAAACACCCAAAAACUGAUUGACAAAAAUCCGAGAGCAAAUCAACAUUCUACUCAACAACAAAACUUUUGACUAUCUUUUGAUUUUUAAAAAUUUGAAGGCCCUCUUUACACUAAUAAGGAGAGAGGUAGAAACUUACAAAUAAUAAAGAUUAAGUUGCAAUGCUCACACAAAAAGUCCAAGCAAGAUCAUUCACAAAAUUCUCACUUCACAUUCUCACACACCAUUAGAAGCACCAUCGUUCAGCAAAUGCACCAUUUAUGUGAGUGUAAAUUUCACUCCUCAGCCCUAAUUACAAGAUAGGCUCAAUUAAGAGUUUUUUUUAAUUGGUGGUGUGAAGUGAAGUAAGCAAUUGGCAAAAGACCAAAGGAGAAAAACCACAAUACAAAUAAAAGAGACAAAAUCAAGUAAUCACAACAUCCAAAAUGAAGUUACAGUUUGUUCAUUGGAUUUUUACCUAAUAAAAAAUAAAAGUAAAAAAUAAAAAAUAUAUUUUUAGAUAGAUAAUUUUUUUUUAUCUUUCCAAUGACAUAAAGAUCAUAUAAUUCCAAGUUACUAUGAGUAAGUUAUGAUAGAUUAAAAAUAGAAUAUAAAUAAUAAAAAAGUUAAGUGAAUAAUUUUUACCUCAAGGGUACCUUGCUUAAGAAAUCAGGAGUUCGAGCCUCACCAAGGCUCACAAGUAGUGUAUAUUCUCCCCUUCAAGAGGCCUUGAGGCCUUAGUCUUAUCUUUCUACCUAUAUCCAAAGUGCUACAACCCAUAUGGAAAUUGUGCACCUCUCUUCCUAUAAGGACUACACUAGCUGUUGGUCCUCCUAUUUUCUUCUAGUAAAACUACUUUUUUUGCAUUUUUAACUUCACCAUGGUGUUAAAAAACACCGAAUUAGCCUAGAAUCCUUGCAUAGUCUUCAAAUCUUGCUUCAUUUCUUCAUGAUGGCUGUCAAGGUGAUAAACUCAAUUUUACCAAAGUCUUGAAAUUUUCUCUAAAAAUUCAAAAAAAAUUCUAAAUAAAUUUUAAAUAAAUUCAAAAAAAAUUUAUAAUAUUUCUAUAAUACUAAUAUCCAUAUGAGGCUGUAUUUUCCUAUCUUGGUGAUUUUUUAUAGUAAUAAAAUCAAUUUAAAUCCACUAAAAAUCCUAUUUUUUAUAUAAUUAAUUAAAAAGACAUGAAGCUCUUUUUCAUGCUUCUUCUAACUAUUAACUAAUCAUUGAUAGGAUUUUAUAAGUAAUACAUGUAGAUAGAAGCCAAUGAAGAUAUUGGUUUCAAUAACUAACUCUUAAUACUUAACAAUAAGAAAAAUACUAAACUAACUAAGAUAAUUGCCUCUAAGACUUACUAAGACUCCAUUUUUAUAACUUUUCUUCUAAAAACACUUUUGUAACUUAUAAAUACUUCUAAAUUAUAAUAAAUAUUCGAAUAGUAAAAAAAACUCUCUAUUCUUAAUAUUUUUAUAAUUAAAUGACUUAAAACUAUGUUUUUAACUAAUCCACUAAUUAAGAUCAAUUUGUGGGACUCACAAAUCCCGACCUUUUGACAAUAUUAAAGACUAGCCCAAAUACAUUCCAAAUGUUUUAUCUUAGAUGACUAGGUGCUAAAGUCGUCAAUGAACACUAUCAUUGACUUCUGUAGAAGGUUAAAGAAGGCAUAGGAUAUGGCCCUUUGAAAUGCAGCUAGAGCAUUAUAAAGUCCAAAAGGCAUCACUACAUAAAUAAAAGUACUCCAUGGCGUAAUGAAAGCAAUUUUAUGACAAUUUUCUUGGGCUAUGGAUAUUUGAUUAUAUUCCAUAUAUCCAUCCAUAAAUAUAUAAAAUUUAUGACGUGUCACUUCUUCUAAAAUGGUAUUAAUAAAAUAAAAUAAAAUGAUCUUUCUGAGUAUACUGUCAUAAUACGUGAAGUCUUGCUUGAGAUUGCUCCGGGCACCUAGCUGUGGAAGAUAGAAUGGAAAUUGCAACAACAAAAUAUUAACUCUAAUAGAAUACUAAAUCUUGAAUCCUAAACUAAAUCCUAAAUCCUAAACCAAAUCCUAACCAAAUCCUAAAUCAAAUACUAACCAAAUUCUAAACAAAUCCUAAAUCAAAUCCUAAACCCUAAAUUAAAUCCUAACUAAAUCUUAAACCCUAAAUCAAAUCCUAAAAAAAUCCUAAACAAAAUCCGAACCAAACCUUGAACCAAACCCUAAAUCCUAAAUCAAAUCCAAAACCAAAUCCUAAACCUUAAAUCAAAUCCUAAUCAAACUCUAAAUCCUAAAAAAAUCCUAAACAAAUCCUAAAUCAAACCUUAACCAAACUAUAAACUCUAAACCAAACCCUAUAAAAUUUCGUCCGUAGAUCUAUUACAAAACUCUUGAA